rnacentral:rRNA from 1 species
UACGUAGGGUGCGAGCGUUGUCCGGAAUUACUGGGCGUAAAGAGCUCGUAGGUGGUUUGUCGCGUUGUUCGUGAAAACUCACAGCUUAACUGUGGGCGUGCGGGCGAUACGGGCAGACUGGAGUACUGCAGGGGAGACUGGAAUUCCUGGUGUAGCGGUGGAAUGCGCAGAUAUCAGGAGGAACACCGGUGGCGAAGGCGGCUCACUGGCCCGAUACUGACGCUGAGGCGCGAAAGCGUGGGGAGCAAACAGG